AACGAACGCUGGCGGCAUGCCUAACACAUGCAAGUCGAACGAGAUCUUCGGGUCUAGUGGCGCACGAGUGCGUAACGCGUGGGAAUCUGCCCUUUGGUUCGGAAUAACAGUUGGAAACGACUGCUAAUACCGGAUGAUGACGAAAGUUCAAAGAUUUAUCGCCAGAGGAUGAGCCCGAGUAGGAUUAGCUAGUUGGUGUGGUAAAGGCGCACCAAGGCGACGAUCCUUAGCGGGUCUGGGAGGAUGAUCAGCCACACUGGGACUGAUACACGGCCCAGACUCCUACGGGAGGCAGCAGUGGGGAAUAUUGGACAAUGGGCGAAAGCCUGAUCCAGCAAUGCCGCGUGAGUGAUGAAGGCCUUAGGGUUGUAAAGCUCUUUUACCCGGGAUGAUAAUGACAGUACCGGGAGAAUAAGCUCCGGCUAACUCCGUGCCAGCCGCCGCCGUAA
rnacentral:rRNA from 1 species